rnacentral:rRNA from 1 species
UGGGGAAUAUUGGGCAAUGGGGGAAACCCUGACCCAGCAACGCCGCGUGAAGGACGAAGGCCUUCGGGUUGUAAACUUCUUUGAUCAGGGACGAAACAAAUGACGGUACCUGAGGAACAAGCCACGGCUAACUACGUGCCAGCAGCCGCGGUAAUACGUAGGUGGCAAGCGUUAUCCGGAUUUACUGGGUGUAAAGGGCGUGUAGGCGGUCUUGCAAGUCGGAAGUGAAAUUCCCGGGCUUAACCCGGGCGCUGCUCCCGAAACUGCGAGACUUGAGUACUGGAGAGGAUAGUGGAAUUCCUAGUGUAGCGGUAAAAUGCGUAGAUAUUAGGAGGAACACCAGUGGCGAAGGCGGGUAACUGGACCGCAACUGACGCUGAGGCGCGAAAGUGUGGGGAGCAAACAG